GCUCCUGCCCGUACCACUGGACGUCGGCUAGUUCGGGAUAGAGGGAGGAGUCCAGGAAACAGCUGUCGGUGUAGCUCCUGCAGGGAGGGCGAGGAGGAGAGCAGCGGGUUAGCGGAGCAGAGCGCCCAGUAGGGCAAGCUGCUCCCAGGCAUGGCAAAAUCCACCUGCAGGAGCCUUGCCGCGGGAGCCCCCGUGGGGGGCGGGGAGGAUGGAGGCGGGGCUGCUCACGCCUGGCCGAGACCUCUCCGAAGUCCUGCUGUCUGGGCCCUACCCUCGGCGCGGCGCAGGAGCUUUCAGAGCUCCGGGCUUCCAUAGGAUUCUGCUUUUUGGAGAACAGCUGCUUGGGCUGCCCUCCAGGAGACCCCAGGCGCCCCCAGCUUUGCCUACAUACUAUUCUGUCCCAGAAGCACGUUCAAAACGUCAAGUGAAACGGAGAAGUUAUUUGGACGGGAGUCUAAAAAAUUUUUUGAAUGCGUGCUAUUUAUUUUAAACAUGCAUUGUUUUCUGAUUAUAGAAACUGUAUGGAAAACAUACCAGAAACUAGAAUGAAAACAAAAGACUUAAAAAGUCUCUGAGGUAUGCGUCACCAUGGAGGCUGGGGAGAAGCCGAGAGGUAAUUACAAAGACACGCGGAAGCCCAUGUUCAGUACUCGGAAAAAUAGCCCCUUGCUGAUCCCAAACUGGCUCUUUUGGGGCAAGAGUAAAGGUCAGGAGCAGCCCCUGCAGCCUGAGAAGGUGGAGGGCCCCCUCACUCCCCCUUGGCUGGCUGCCUGAGCUCUGCGCUCUGUUCCUAAACUGCAGGUCCAGCUUGGAGCCCCUUGGGUGCUGUUGCCUUUGUUCCCAGCGCAGCUCCUAGCUCCCUCUGAGUGUCAAUUUGUACUGAUUCCUACAGGGAUGAAACUGGGGGCCUUGAGCCUCCAGGUGUUGAAGCGACAUGUCCCUUGGAUGACAUUGGUCUGUGAUUCCGGGUUAUUAGGUCUAUGUGUCUUUAAUGCCUGGUGCUAGGGUUCGGGACGGACGGGUGAAGGAACGUGGUCCUAAUCCAAUGUGGUGCAGAGAACAGCAAGCUGAACGAGCACCUUCCUCCCAGCCCCGUGAGCGAGAAGCUGCAGUCGUGCCCAUCUUUCUCAUUGGCUGACCUCUCUAGGAACGACUGGAUGAAGGCAUUGUGGAUUUUGUAAAUGUUUCUCAUCUGGCUUUUAAAAAACCCACGGAAGUUGGAAAACCCAAGGCAUCGGUGGCAUAUGGUGGCCUUUGCUGAGAGUCCUGGGCCUGGAACUCCUGAUCUAGUGGGAAUGAAUGCUGCUUUCAGAAGCAAAAUGACAUACAGACCCUUUCUUCUGAUGCCGGCCACGGGUCCCUAUUAUGGAAUGACCUCCCUGAAGUUUGCACUUCAAAGAAAUGGCCUACAGGAUAGGUCCUGGAGGAGACCGAUAGAGCAUUUACGUCUCAAAGACACAGGGAAUGAAGGCAAGUUCCUCCCAGAAGGAUUUUGUUUCUUAAAUCUAAAUAUUUUAAAAUAUCUGCAAGGCCUUUUGAGGUGAAUAGGGGAGGUUUUGGAAUUGGUAAAAAUAAACAAAAAACUAUGGGUGGGCUUUGAAUUGCUUCCAGAGCUGUGUGACUGUUGCUGUAAAGACUGAAUUUGCAAGACAGGGACAGGUAUUUUUAGUUCCUCAAGGACUGGGGUUGCAACUUGAGUAAAGGCCAGUAAGAUCUUUAAAAUUUACUCAGUUGAAUUGUUUUCUAACAGUUUGGUGAGCAGUGGGAUCCCAAGGAGACCUCAGAUAGCUUCAGGGACAACAUGAAACACAGGCAGCUGUACCUGUGAAUCCCCUGAGGUCUCUGAGGGCCAUGGGUAAGUUCCUCUCGGUUCUGAGCUCUGCUCUUUUUGCGUUAGGCUCCCCAUCAAGUUGGCUUCCCAGUCCAGCAUUAACAUUGUCUGGACUGAUGGGAGGCUCUCACAGAGUCCCUGGCCCUCGCUUAGUCUGCAGUCCCAGGCCAGGGCUUGGCACCUGGCACCUCAGUCCCGAGCCUCCAGUUAGUCCCCAGUGCCCAUGUGCUGGGAGUUGCUGGUUCCGUCCAUAGUUCCGUGCUGGGAACUGCCAGUGGUGUGCACCUGUGGCCUCCUCCUGGCCAGCCCACAGUAUCCUCUCUUCGGCUACUACGGGUCUGCUAAUGUGCCCGUGAGGUAAAGCAGUAAGAGGUCUGUUGUCAGUGAGAACCUCAGAAGCCAAAGCUGCAAAAUUGGUGGGCACAGGUCAAGCACUUAAAAGCCGUUAGAGCGCUUGCCCCCUAACUCGAAGACCCCCGUGCUAGGGUAAGCUGGUUACAGAAUGGGUUAGACGGCCACCAGGUCACCCACUGACCUCAAGAAAACUUCCACACCACGAGGUACACUGUGAAAUGUCCCAAGAUCCCCAACCAGUGGCACGUCCAUAUUCAUUUGUCUCUAUGAGACCGAAGGCUCAGCUGAAGAACAGGCAUCCCCAGGUUCCAAAGAACGGAGUGCGCCACCCACCAGCACAGCUCCUUACUUCGCAUCUAAGAACUGUGGUAGUAGAACAAGCUAGAACUACAGUGGCCACUGGGAAGCGAUUUCACUCCACAGUGAAACUGGAGCCUCUCAGGCAUGUGCCCUCAGAAGACCGGAACCUAAGAGCUGAGAGACUGAUGUCCCGUUAAGUGCCUGAUCUACAGAGGAAUGAGACUUCUCUCCUGAGCUGUGAACACCUGCCCAGGAUCUCGCCCCAUUCUCAAGCCAGUGAACUGGGACCAUGGACACUGCUAGAACACUUGCCCCCUUUCUAUGAGACCACCUUCUGCAAAGCACAAGACUCCUGUGUAAGGAUAAGGGCUUACGGACAGGCAGGUUUCACACCAGGUCACCUGUCACCCCCAAGACAAUCCCGUGCAAUGAGGGACACCUGGUCUUAGACAAGCAGGGCAAGGGCUGUCCCCCAGGAAAAGGAAAUACCCCAUCAAAGGCACACAGUCAGACCUCUUGGGAAAACUCCAAAAAUGGGAUCCCAGUCUUGUCAAGGCCCUACGGGUGCCCCCCACCCCCCCAAAACCCCAGGGGUUUUACACUAAAAACAGUUACAGUCUCUCAUGCACAUGGACCAGCAGUACUGAAGACAACCUAGAAUCCCAGCGGUCAUUACGAGGAAUGUUCCAGUUAGACAAGUUCAUUCAUUUAAGAAGUGCACGUGAAUGCAGGGGUUCCUAAACAAACAGAAUGGGAUACCUGUUAUAAUUGGCACACAGAAGCCUCCAGAAGGCUUCAAAAUUCUGAAACUGCUUCACUGAGAGAUUCAUUGCAAAAGGGUAAUGAAAAGCGCAAGACAGAAGCGGUACCUAAAACAAAAGACUGUCUGACUGCUGGGACUCCUGCCACUCUCCUCUUCUACACCCAAGUGCUCGUGGUACUCGUCCUGUAUCUGGAUGGUCUUCCACCCGCAAGAGACAUGUCUGUCAGAGGAGGGUCCCCAUACAGGGCUUGAAGAGUUCCCAGGACUCGGGGGAUUCUCUUGUAACUGCCACCAGUUAUUCCUGAAACAGCCAAGGGAAAACUAAACCUGGGACACCUUGUCAAGUUCUGGUAAUGCAGGAGUUACACUUCGUACUUUAAACCCCACUUGCUCCGGAGCCCACAGAUGGGAAUCCUGGAAGAACUAGCAAGAAUCCUUACCAGAGUCCUCUCUCCCAAAUCUCUGUAGCCCACUUGAGAGAGGAAGGUAAAAUUUGGCAUCCCUUCCUUUCCAGACCCACGGGUUGCUGAACCUUUCUCUCCCAGCGACAGCUUUUGCCCUCCUGUGUCCUGUGAGCUUGGCUUGGCACCGUCACAUUGGGGCUCCCAGUAUAUGGCCAGGCAGAGAAGUGGGUUGAACUCCAUGUACAGCUGGGGUCCUGUGCUUAUUGCCAGUCCUUGGGAAGCGUCUCAGCCUCUGUUUUUGGUCAUCUUUGAGUGGCUCUGGCUCUGGGACAGUGGUAUUCUUUGUACCCUCUCUGAGGACACCUUUUGUGUCCGUGGUGGUGUUCAGUACUAGCCAGGAAUAUCUACUGUUUGAGCUCAAGCCUGACAAGAGAGCCAAAAGGAUUUUUAAGUAGCUCUAUGGUCAGAAGUUGGCCAGAUUGGAAGUACAGAGUCCUCAUCAGAGCCUGACAGCAACUUUUUUGGGGGCUUUCUCCCCUAAGUCAAAAAGAAACCAUGUGCUCAGAGGGAAAGAAAAACAUUUUGCAGCCAUCUGCAGAAGGAUUUACUAGAAUAAGCCAGAGACUAAGCUCUAAAAUCUGGAACACAGGAAUCUUUUGAUUUCCAUCCUAACUGAAGAUCUUGAUAUAAAGCAGCAAACUGAGGAUAAUGUAGUGGGAUGGAUGGGUGGGUCAGCCUGUGACGUCACUCAGGUCACAACCCAAUUUCUUGAGGAAUCAAAAACGGGGGUCCCUGUCUUAGAAUAAAUCACAUCCUUAUCAGAACAAAUACAGCUCUAGUAGCAAAGUCAAAUCCCACCUGUCAUUUUUACCAAUGUCCAAACCUUCCCAAUUUGUCCCAAAAGGCUUGAUCUGGAUUUAAGCAACAAAGCCCUUCUCCGAGGAAUGUUGGGAAGGUUCUCCUUGCAGGAACUUGUCUUGUAGGCCAUCCCUUUCAAGUGCAAACUUCAGGGAGGUCAUUCUUACCAGAAGGAAAAAAAGAAGGGGAUGGCUGUUUGGAAUGUAGGCAAAUGAAAAUCUUAAAUGUCUUCUUCCCAGAUGCUUUAGGCUCGUGAGCAGGUAACCUGAAUUUGUUCCAACUGUUCUUCUGUAAACUAGUCAGUUUUGUAUUCUCACCCUGGUCUCAUGGCUAAAAUUUAAAACGAAAGCUGUAAGAUCUCUAUGUCUGCAGAUGGGUGACAUUUUCCUACCUCUGGUUGGUACUGGCAAAAUUAAUUUGUACAAGUUUCAAUUAAUUGGCUUAAAAAGAAGCACUUAUUAAAUGAGGUAUUCUAAAACUGUCACAAAUAGAGGAGUAAGCCACGUAUUUUUCAAGUUCAUGUGAUCUAGGAUGAAUCUUCAGUAAAUAAAAGCUAGUUCAAGUUUGUGGGUUUAAUUAAAAUGGGAAUGUCUUCAGAGAGACCUAUACCUUUUAUUCUACCCGCGUUUGCUAAUGAUUUGAAUUCGUGUUAUCUGUUACAAAACUUGUUCGCAAGGAAGAGAACUUUAAUGUCUUGAGAAGUUUUCAUGAUUAACAUGAACAUAACUGCUGCUGAUCCCAGAGCACGCAUAGUCCUUCCUACGCCUCAGAGGCUGUACCGCCCUGUCCCCCUCAAUCUCCAGGACUAGUAGAAAGGACUAAAGGCAUCAUUAAAACCCCAUUAGGAAACUUCUCUGCAACUCUGGGAUUUCUCUGGACCAAGAUGCUGUCACUGGUUGUUUUUGAAUCUAAAGUCCUUACCUUUUGAAAAAAUAGUAACUGGCACACCCAUGCAUUUGCCUCUUUGCCAGUACUCUGACCCUCAGAUCGCCCAACGAGACCUAUUAAAAUAUUGCCACUAUUUCCAGAAACCUCUCUCACAAAUUCAAGAAGCUUAUGCUGAACAAGAAUAUGACCUGACCUGUGACUCCCUUCAGGAGCCACAUCCCGGAGAAUACUCGUACUGGGAGAGUGUCCCUCUUCCCUGAGGUAAAAGGACCUUUCUGGUACUGCUGGCCAGUUCCUGCAUAGCUAAGCCUGGAGGCAUCUGCCCCUGGAUUCAUCUGUCCCGACUUCCAGGAGUCACGGGACCUGAAAGGAACAAAGGCAAGAGAUCCAGCCACAGCAGCAGACGGCUAGCCCGAGGUCGGACCAGGCCUCUAUCACCGUCCGCCUUUACUGUGAAAAUUGUGAUGGGCAAAAAUGAGUCCGACUCCUCCACCUAAGUGUUUUUUCCCUCCCGUUUGCUCUUUUCUGUUGCUCCUUGACUUGGAAAGCCCGUACCUUCCUCUGCCGAGGGAGACAGCCUCUCAGGCUGCUGGACCUGCCUUCGCACACUCUGAUCUGUCCAUGAUUUGGGGGACCCCCUGGGCUUUCCUGUGGCCACUUUUCCUUCGUGAACCACACCCGCAUUCCCUUCGACAUCAGCUGAUACAGUUAAACUCUCGCAGCCAGGCUUUCCCAGGGCCCUUCCCCAGUGCCGCCUCUGCCUGACCAGUGAGGUACCCGGACCUCCACACCUCAGUACAGGCGUCACCAGGCUCUUACGAGUGUCUGAGUCCCACCUGGCCCCGGCACAACGACCUCUCAUCAGAAGCAUGUGCUUUUGCAAGGCAUUUAGAACAGCUCUUUAUUUCAGGCUGGGAGACGGAUUUCCUGAAUAUGCCAAAAACCUAACUGACCCCUGGCUUGAACGAGCAAAUGUGACAAUGAAUCCAUGAACAAUGCUGCUUUUGCGGGAGUGGUCUGUACCCCGACAGGAUUUAUCUUUGUCCGGGGUGGUCAUCAUUCUCCUGGGGCCUGCAAGUGCCCGGACUGGCAUAUAAGCAGGCAGCCGCUCUGGUUCUUCUCUAUACCCCAGCUGUCCACAGCCAAACUGAGACACCUUAUCGGUCAGCUCCCCUGAAUUUACAUUAUCAUGUUAGAGGAGACCAGGAAGCAUUCCUAAGUCAGGAGUUGCUUCCUUUGGCCCAUCUCUACUUCCCUGGUUAGAAGGGGGUGCAAAUGAGGCUAGGGCCCCAAACUCUGCUUUAACCCAUCAAACAACUGCCGACUCUAGUGCUAAGGCCAUAGCUACCCAGCAAAACUCCCUAGAUUCUCUGUCUAAAAUUGUCCUUGCCAGUAGGCCAGCCCUCGAUUCUCUCUUGGUUGCACAGGAUGUCUGCGCCAUAGUCAAUCAACAUGCAGACUUGGCUUAACACUUCUGGGGAAGUCGAGGUUCAGUUACAUCAAGUCUGAGAAAAAGCCCAUUGGUUACAAGUCCAGUCUGACUCAUCUUGGAAUUUUGAUUUAUUCAGCUGGUUCCCAACAAGACUGGGCUUAUGGUUUAAAUCUAUACUACAAUUGGGUCUUUCUAUCUUAUUUGUCAUUUUGUUUUGUGAUUUUUUAAAGUACUGAGUUACCCAUCCAACCUUUGUGAAAAUAACAAACGUGACAGCAUUUCAAAGCCUUGGGCAAGCAAAUGUCUGACAUGUAUACCCUGACAAAGUCUCCUUGCCUUGACCCAAUAUAAGUUGCUCAAGUGUGGCCUUUCGCUUGCUACUAUUCCCGAAGUUGUUCUCACCCUGAAGAAGACAUGGUAAAGAAAAAAGGUCCAAGUAUGAUAAAAGAAAAAGACACAACGAAGAAACAGCGUGGAUCAUCAAAAGGUGAGGUCCAUGCAAAAAACACUUAGCAAUAUAUUGGGUGAUUGCUGCCCCUCAUGGGGGCUUGAUCAAAAAGGGCAAAUGCAGAACCAAACCAAAAUGGAGUCACUUAAUGUCGGACACAAUGGAGACAAUCACUGCAGGCUCAUAAAGGAAAAUGAACCUAUCCUUAACACAAAUUACAGCUCUUCCCAGAAAUCAGCAUAGCACACCAGCCAAUCCCCCAAAGCCAAUUCUGUUCGGGCCCUUUCUGAACUUCCCUGUCCCCUGCAAAUAUGCAUAGUUUGCUUUUUGGCAUUGCUACUUUUCAAAUGGGGCCAAUGAAAUCCACUUUCCAGUUCCCUCCUCUGGGGCACACGACACCUGAGGAUGGUUUUCCUCUGCUCCAAGGGACUUGUGCUCCAACUAACAACAUCUUGGAUCAAGGAAGGAAAAAAAGGGAAAACAAUGCCUAAAUAACAUAGUUGAUCAGUGAUGCUUUCUUGAGCAAGAGUGGGGAAUGUGAAAGGAUUUCAAUCUAAAAUGAAACCAGAGGAUAUGAAGUGAAGAAUCUCACGCAUGUCCCUUCAGAACAACAGAACUUAAGAACUCAGAGACUGAUUUUCCAUAAAUGCUUGACUUACAGAAGACUGAGACUUAUUGCCUAACCAGCGAACAUAUGCCAAGGAUCUCUUCCUGUUCUCCAGCCAGUGAAUUUGUUUAGUCUCUGGCUAGACUUUUCCCUCUUUGCAAAUCCAGCCUGCCCCAAGCCCUCAAUGCUCACCUGUAGCUUGCUACAGCCUGCAUUUCCCAAAGUGCAGUUCUUCUGCCACUCCCAAAUAAACUCCAUUUCUGGUCAUUUGAGCCUACCUCAGUUGACCUCCUUAUUGAGGUUGUUAGCCAUUAUUGGGAACAUUCCAGUUGGAUGAGAUCAUUUAAGUGAACCUGAAAGCAAGGUUUGCCAAAUGCAACAAAUGGGUUACCCAUUUUCAUGGGCAUGCAGAAGCUUCCAGAAGGUUUCGUGAUUCCAAAGUAGCUUCGUUAAAAGAAAGAGUCAUUGCAAAAGGAAAAUGAAAAGUGACAGAAGAGGUACCUAAAACCAAAGACCGUAACAUUGACUUGACUCUUACUACUUCCCUUUAUCCUCUCUUACCUCUGAGUACUCAUGAUCCACUCAUCCUCUUAAGUGCCUUUCCACUCUGCAGAGACUACAUACUGUCAACAGAAGUCUGCCCCAUUACUGGCCUCAAAGGUGGGCCCCCGUGUGAGCCCUUCGCAUAGUUGACAGGACUCUGAGGGGUUUCCUGGUAACCUGUGACCGGUUAUUCCAUUAAACAGCCAAUGGGAAACUAAAAUGGAAAUUAAUGGAAAGCUUUGCCCAAUACUGGUAGAUUCCAGGGCUGUAUGCUCUACUUUAAGCCCUUUUGCUUGGGACCCUGCAGGUGAGGGCCUGGGAAGAGUGGCAGAAGCUGGCAAAGGUGGAAAUCCUGACCAGAGUCCGUUUCCCUGAUUUAUUAUGACUCGAGUCUUUACAAGAACAGAAGUGCAGCAAUUCACACGGAAGUAAUUCAAAGCCCACCUAGCAUUUUUAGCAACCCCCAAACAUAACCCCUUCAUCUCAAAAGGCUUGUAGUUACUGUAAAAUUCUGGCCUCGGGAUAACAGAAUUCUGUCUUGAAGGCACUUGUGCUCUUUCUCUGUGCCGUAGAGAUGUAAGUGUUCUAUCUGGUCUUCUCUCGGAACCCGGGUCAUUCUUAUCAGAAGGGAAAAGGAGCAGGGGGAACAAGUUAUUCAGAAACUAGGCAAAUGAAAAAUCUUGUCUUCAUAAAUAUCAGUGAAAAGUUUAACCCAUGUCACCUUAACCUUUUACCAGGAGCAUGAUUUGGAUCCAACUAUUCUUUUAUAAACUGGUGGGUUUUGCAUUAUUUCACCUGCCUCAUGGCUAAAAAUUUAAAACAAAAGCUGUGAGAUCUCUGUCUGCAUCUGUUUCUAUGAUUUUAUAUGUCCAUGCAUGCAUAUUACACUUGUGGUCUUCUCUGCCUCAGGAUGGUAUUGCCAAAAUUAAUGUGUCAAGAGCUCAAUUUAAUUGGCUUAAAGACACACAAGGGCUACACAAAUUAUGCAUACUCAGAAUAAUAAAAACCCAAAUGUUUCAAGUUCAUGUGAUCUAGGGUAAUCUUAAAGCUAGUUUAAGUUGGUUAGUUUAAUUAAAAUAGGCAUGUCUUUAGAGUUAACAGCAUGAAAUAUAAGGAAUUAUUUCCUUCCUAGGUUAACUAAAAGCCAAAUAAGCUUAUUUUCUGUUACAGAAUUUGUCACCAGAAAGAUAAUUUGACAACUGUCUAAAUGCUAAUGUGACUUUGAGUCAUCUAAAAAUUGUUAGCAAGAAAAUUAAUAGGUAUAAGUAGGAUAAAAGUUUAUAAAUGAACUUUUCAACAAUUAUUAUGCUUAUGUUAGGUCUACUUAGAAAAUAGUUUCCAAAACCCUUUUGUUAACUUGAAACCUUACAGCUAUAGUGAGAUAAGUUAAAGGAUGGACUUUCAGUGGUAUCAGAUAAUUUCCAAAUAAAGUACUGAAAUUGUUACUUACUGGACACAGAUUUAUCCACUUCUCACUUCCUUUUACAGAGGAUGUAAAGAUAUUCGGGUCUGUUAGUAAACAUGUUCUGUGCCAUACAGAAAAAUUUACUGUGAGGAAGAAUAUACUUCUAGAAGUCAUGAAGUGUCUUUAUAGGUUUGCUAACCCAUAGACUGUUCGUGUAACGGACAAUCCACAGUUGCUUUUUAGUUUUUACUAGGAAUUAAGAAUUCUUAUCAAUAUAUGUAAUUAAAAUUACUUAGAAAUAAUAGAAGGAAACUGUGGAUAAAAAGUAGGCAAGGAAAAUAAAAAUGGCUGUUCCAGAAUGAGGGAAAAAUAGAUAUAUGGAACAAAAUCUGAAAGGAUCUAAAAACAUUGUAGGUGGUUUGUGGGAAAGGAAUCUUGGGAAGGGAAUUUGAGGUGUGGUCAAGUUGGUUAAGAUGGGAAUGGACUUAAGAUUUUUAAUGAGUUUUAAUAUCAAAAGCAGACAGGUGCAAAAAUAGAAUUUGGUUUUGUCUGUUAAAAGGACAAAGUUUUCUUGGACUUUUGGUCUGCCUUUGAUAAGCAAUUGUGAAGGAUUCUUUAAGUCCUCUGCCUGGUCAGCAAAGAUUUUGUGUCUUAGCGAAAUAAUUUACCAUGCUUCAUGUGGUCUUUUAUCAAGUCUUUGGCUGCGUAAGAAAACUCCCAUCUUCUCAAUAUUAAAAGACCCAAGUUUUGUUCACAACUACUAUUUGCCUUUGUCACUUUGGUUAGAUAGAUAAUUCUUUCAUAAUGAUCUGUGAUCCUGUUUGGUCCUGUGUUCAAACCUGUUGAUGCUCUAACAACUUCCCAUAACCAGAUUCUUAAUGGCGUCUUCCUGACCUGAAAGUAACUUUGAGAUUUCCCUAGAGUGUCCCUGGAAAAUCUCAAAGGAUUUGUCUCUCCCCUUAUAAAAGAUGCUACACUAAUUAAUUUGUUUGCUAUAUGUUAAAUUACGUGGGAAGCUUUGUCACAUAGUCACAUAAUAAAAUCUUAAGUUAUUUGUAUAAACCAUGUUAUUAGUAUAAAUGGUCUUGAAACUGUAUGAAGUUUCUAGAAAUCUGAUAUGUCCUGGUACAAUGUUAUUCAUAAGUUCAGUUAUUAUCUUUAAAUGUUGUAUAUCACAGAAGUAACCAAAUUUCCUUAUCAAUUUCAUUAUAAUGAACUCUAAUCAGAUCUGAGCAUCUUAAAGUGUUUUGUCAUUUACAGCCACUUUUUUGUUUUACUCUGAUGAUUUUGCAAAACUGGGACUCAUGGAAAGGAACCCUACCAAGAACUCUUGACCCCUGACACCGGUGCCAAUUUAUAAGGUGCUGAACCCUGGGUGCAUAUUUUAUGACUGAGGAAGGCUCCACCUGACAUCUGGUCUGGUGCAAAAGCUGGAGACCUCAAAAUCAAAUUGACGAAGAGAGGUUGCGGACAUCAAGGUUGACAGCUUCCUCCCAGGGUGUGGCAUAAGAAAGUUUCCAUUCCCCCUUCCCUCUCUGACCAUCCUUCCCCUAAUUCUUACUCCAUGAAGGUCUUCAAGAUCCUUCCUGGCCCUGGCCUGCAAAGAUAAUGCCAUUGUUCACCCGUCUCAGACCACUGCAAAGGGAGAGGUAAUCUAACCUCCAAAAGACUGUUGGAUGUCCCACGAUACUCGUGCUCCUGCAGUUCUGUCCAUCCCAAACUUCUGCCUGAUUGUCAACGCUUCAGUUUCCCUGGGCCAAAGCCAGCCCCUCUCUCCAUCAUGUCACAGUCCCUGGUUAAGAACCCCAGGCCCAGGGAACUUUGCAUCCAGGCUUUGUCCAAAGAAAGGGACACCAGGCAAGGGUGACCAAAUAAAACCACAGACCUUCGAGUUGUACUGGCCCCCGUGCUGUCCUCCUCUGAGUCCCAAGCCACAGACUCAAAUGGGAAUGACCAGGAAGCAUUCAUGAAUCAAAGCUCGUUUCCCUUGGCAGAUCCUAUGCCUCCUGGACAGGAGUAAGCGCAAGCGAGGCUGCAUUUGGGGACCUCUCCUUCACUCUCGCAGAUGUUGCAGAAUCGGCUGCGAGAACACGAGCUGCCUCACAAAUUCCUAGGCUCUCUGCCAAAGUUGUUCCAUAAUUAUCUUUCAGCUGAGGUGGUGCUAUGGCCAACACCACUCGCUGCACUCGGAUAGACGCUUCUGGGAAAGUUGAGACUCACCUACACAAGACCACUGCGCACGGCAGCUGGCUUAAGAAAGGGACUCCUUCACCGGGGUCUUUCUUGGACAUACUUGAUUCUAAUUGGUUUGGGCCCUGGGGACCAUGGCUCCAAAGGACAUUCUAGACAUUGGGCGUUCUCCUGCUCUAAUAACGACAGCAGUCCCACUGGUGCACGCUUUAAAUACAUGUUUGCAGCCGCUCACCACCCAGCAAAGGAUCUCCCUAAGAACAGAACUUCAGAAAAGGAACAAAGACAAUGACCACUGUAAAGAAUGAACCUGAUUGCAUGACCUGUGAAUACCACACAGAGAUUCAGCAAAAACCUGUGGUAACUCCCGAGCGUUACAUUUUGAUCACAUCUCUUGGUGAGGCCGAGAGUCUGAUCAAAAGGAGGGAAUUGUUAAAAACAAGAAACCAGGCCCAAAAUAGAGUCACUGAUGCUAAGACCCAUGUCACCAAGCUGAGACCUCAACUUAGUGUAUCAGUUCUCCCAGAAAUGGAGUCUUAAACUAGUCAAUCAGGCAUCACCUGAUCAGCCCAAGUGAGGUCAUGUGUCUGAUAGACCCCUGCCAUUUCCUAAAGGAAAGUGACCUUGCAAUAACCAACUGAUUUUUUGCCUAGUAUAAAUCCGUGUUCCUGCUCCCUUCUGCUUAUAGAAGUCUCAUCUUGCACAGCUCCUUUCAUCUAGCAGAUGAAAUGCUGCCCGAUUCAUGAGUUGUUGAAUAAAGUCAAUAAAGUCUUUCCGAUUUCCUCA